UACGUAGGGUGCAAGCGUUACUCGGAAUUACUGGGCGUAAAGCGUGCGCAGGCGGUUUUGUAAGACUGUCGUGAAAUCCCCGGGCUUAACCUGGGAAUUGCGAUGGUGACUGCAAGGCUAGAGUUUGGCAGAGGGGGGUAGAAUUCCACGUGUAGCAGUGAAAUGCGUAGAGAUCGGAAAGAACACCAACGGCGAAAGCACUCUGCUGGGCCGACACUGACACUGAGAGACGAAAGCUAGGGGAGCGAAUGGG
rnacentral:rRNA from 1 species